AGUGAACGGUGUGCACGGUGUAGUCUGUGUUAUGUGUUGUUGCUGGACUGUGUUUUGCAGGCCGGGUAGCAGCACUCACUCCAUACCUGCAGCCAUAGAACAACUGGGGAUCAUAGUACUGGCUUUUGACAUCUUCCCAUCAGCCAGCCUCCAAACUCUCCCAACAUAC